rnacentral:rRNA from 2 species
UGGGGAAUAUUGCGCAAUGGGGGGAACCCUGACGCAGCAACGCCGCGUGCGGGAAGACGGCCCUCGGGUUGUAAACCGCUUUCAGCAGGGAAGACAUCGACGGUACCUGCAGAAGAAGCCCCGGCUAACUACGUGCCAGCAGCCGCGGUAACACGUAGGGGGCGAGCGUUAUCCGGAUUCAUUGGGCGUAAAGCGCGCGCAGGCGGGCGCGCAAGCGGGACCUCUAAGACCGGGGCUCAACCCCGGGCCGGGUCCCGAACUGCGCGCCUCGCCCCAGGUAGGGGUAGGCGGAAUUCCCGGUGUAGCGGUGGAAUGCGCAGAUAUCGGGAGGAACACCGACGGCGAAGGCAGCCUACUGGGCCUCGGGGGACGCUGAGGCGCGAAAGCCGGGGGAGCGAACAGG